GAUGAACGCUGGCGGCGUGCCUAAUACAUGCAAGUCGAGCGAACAGACGAGGAGCUUGCUUCUCUGACGUUAGCGGCGGACGGGUGAGUAACACGUGGAUAACCUACCUAUAAGACUGGGAUAACUUCGGGAAACCGGAGCUAAUACCGGAUAAUAUAUUGAACCGCAUGGUUCAAUAGUGAAAGACGGUUUUGCUGUCACUUAUAGAUGGAUCCGCGCGGCAUUAGCUAGUUGGUAAGGUAACGGCUUACCAAGGCAACGAUGCAUAGCCGACCUGAGAGGGUGAUCGGCCACACUGGAACUGAGACACGGUCCAGACUACUACGGGAGGCAGCAGUAGGGAAUCUUCCGCAAUGGGCGAAGGCCUGACGGAGCAACGCCGCGUGAGUGAUGAAGGUCUUCGGAUCGUAAAACUCUGUUAUUAGGGAAGAACAAAUGUGUAAGUAACUAUGCACAUCUUGACGGUACCUAAUCAGAAAGCCACGGCUAACUACGUG
rnacentral:rRNA from 1 species